rnacentral:tRNA from 1 species
AGGGAUGUGGCUCUGUUGGAAGAGCGCCUGCCUGGCAUGCUUGGAGCCCUGGGUUCCAUCCCCAGCACACCUU